UACGGAGGGGGCAAGCGUUAUUCGGAAUUAUUGGGCGUACAGAGCUCGUAGGCGGGCAUUUAGGUCUGGUGUGAAAUCGUUGCCGCUCAACGGAACGAUGCCAUUGGAAACCGGAUGUCUUGAGUGCGGCAGAGGUUGGUGGAAUUCCCGGUGUAGCGGUGGAAUGCGUAGAUAUCGGGAGGAACACCAGUGGCGAAGGCGACCAACUGGGCCGCAACUGACGCUGAGGAGCGAAAGCCAGGGGAGCAAACGGG
rnacentral:rRNA from 1 species